rnacentral:tRNA from 1 species
GGUCGCGGGUUCGAGUCCCGUCCGUUCCGCCA